rnacentral:rRNA from 1 species
UGCCAGCAGCCGCGGUAACACGUAAGGAGCGAGCGUUGUUCGGAAUUAUUGGGCGUAAAGGGCAUGUAGGCGGUUUUGUAAGUCUGGUGUGAAAUACUACAGCUUAACUGUGGGAACGCACUGGAAACUGUGAGACUAGAAUCAGUGAGGGGUAACCGGAAUUCCUUGUGUAGGGGUGAAAUCUGUUGAUAUAAGGAAGAACACCGAUGGCGAAGGCAGGUUACUGGCGCAUGAUUGACGCUGAUGUGCGAAAGCGUAGGGAGCGAACAGGAUUAGAUA